UCAAUAUGCCAGCCCCCCAUGAUCUCAGGUCCCGGCCAGCAAUCUUGAGACACCGUGAGAGACUGUGCCUCUUUUGGCCUCAAUGCCAAGAGCCCCAUUCUCAGCAUUAUAAGUUCUUUACCAUUUUCAUUCAGAGUCUCAGCCCCGCAGUCCACUUUCCAGCCCCACAGUGAAUUCCGCUCGAUCCCUAGAGGUGCCAUCACGGACCCAAGGCAAUCUCCUACCAUCAGCGGGGCUUUCUGGCGCAAGGCUGCAGCCCCCUUUUGCGCUCGACACGACCUAUUUUACUUCCACCACAGCAAGGCCCCACAGGGAUUUUGGCAGCAGAACAGCACGGUCCCUGUGCCAGCACUAUGGUUCCUAUGGUGUAUUGAGCCCUGAUGCCAGACAGGCAAUGAUGAGUCCAGGCCCAGUGAUUUCAGCCCUUUCAGCUGUUGACCCACAAGCUUUAUUUCACUGCCAGCGCUCUUGUCCAGCUUCAAAGGGCAGCGUCUUGGCCUUAGCUCCAGCUCUGCAACACUUGAGCCCCGAGGGUCUCCGAACCUCCCCCCAGCAUCAAUAUGCCAGCCCCCCGUGAUUUCAGGUGCCGCCCAACAAUCUUGAGACACUGUGCCAGCCCCUGCAUAAGAUUACCUUGAUGGCCACAGCCCCAUUCACAGGUCUAGUAUCUUUUCCGUUUUCAGUCCGAGGCCCAGCCAUGGAGUCCACUUCCCAGCCCCAGAGUAAUUUUGGCUCCAUCCCAGGAGGUGCCUUCACAGGCCCAGGCAAUAUCCUGGCGUCGACGGGGUUUUCAGGCGCCAGGUUGCGGCCCCCUUUUCCUAUCCACACAGCCUGCUGUACUUUCAGUCACAAUGGCCAGCCCCUUCACCCAUGUCACGGGCCUACAGUGAUUACGGUGCAAGAAGAACACCACGGUCCCUGUGCCAGCCGUAUGGUUCCAGUGCCAUGUUCAGCCCCGAUGCCAGACAGGCAAUGAUGAGUCCAGGCCCAGUGAUUUCAGCCCUUUCAGCUGUUGACCCACAAGCUUUAUUUCACUGCCAGCGCUCUUGUCCAGCUUCAAAGGGCAGCGUCUUGGCCUUGGCUCCAGCUCUGCAACACUUGAGCCCCGAGGGUCUCCGAACCUCACCCCAGCAUCAAUAUGCCAGCCCCCCGUGAUUUCAGGUGCCGCCCAACAAUCUUGAGACACUGUGCCAGCCCCUGCAUAAGAUUACCUUGAUGGCCACAGCCCCAUUCACAGGUCUAGUAUCUUUUCCGUUUUCAGUCCGAGGCCCAGCCAUGGAGUUCCCUUCCCAGCCCCAGAGUAAUUUUGGCUCCAUCCCAGGAGGUGCCUUCACAGGCCCAGGCAAUAUCCUGGCGUCGACGGGGUUUUCAGGCGCCAGGUUGCGGCCCCCUUUUCCUAUCCACACAGCCUGCUGUACUUUCAGUCACAAUGGCCAGCCCCUUCACCCAUGUCACGGGCCUACAGUGAUUACGGUGCAAGAAGAACACCACGGUCCCUGUGCCAGCCGUAUGGUUCCAGUGCCAUGUUCAGCCCCGAUGCCAGACAGGCAAUGAUGAGUCCAGGCCCAGUGAUUUCAGCCCUUUCAGCUGUUGACCCACAAGCUUUAUUUCACUGCCAGCGCUCUUGUCCAGCUUCAAAGGGCAGCAUCUUGGCCUUGGCUCCAGCUCUGCAACACUUGAGCCCCGAGGGUCUCCGAACCUCCCCCCAGCAUCAAUAUGCCAGCCCCCCGUGAUUUCAGGUGCCGCCCAACAAUCUUGAGACACUGUGCCAGCCCCUGCAUAAGUUCACCUUGAUGGCCACAGCCCCAUUCACAGGUCUAGUAUCUUUUCCGUUUUCAGUCCGAGGCCCAGCCAUGGAGUUCCCUUCCCAGCCCCAGAGUAAUUUUGGCUCCAUCCCAGGAGGUGCCUUCACAGGCCCAGGCAAUAUCCUGGCGUCGACGGGGUUUUCAGGCGCCAGGUUGCGGCCCCCUUUUCCUAUCCACACAGCCUGCUGUACUUUCAGUCACAAUGGCCAGCCCCUUCACCCAUGUCACGGGCCUACAGUGAUUACGGUGCAAGAAGAACACCACGGUCCCUGUGCCAGCCGUAUGGUUCCAGUGCCAUGUUCAGCCCCGAUGCCAGACAGGCAAUGAUGAGUCCAGGCCCAGUGAUUUCAGCCCUUUCAGCUGUUGACCCACAAGCUUUAUUUCACUGCCAGCGCUCUUGUCCAGCUUCAAAGGGCAGCAUCUUGGCCUUGGCUCCAGCUCUGCAACACUUGAGCUCCUGCCUGAGGGUCUCUAAGCCCAUCCCAAUAUCAAUAUGCCAGCCCCCCAUGAUCUCAGGUCCCGGCCAGCAAUCUUGAGACACCGUGAGAGACUGUGCCUCUUUUGGCCUCAAUGCCAAGAGCCCCAUUCUCAGCAUUAUAAGUUCUUUACCAUUUUCAUUCAGAGUCUCAGCCCCGCAGUCCACUUUCCAGCCCCACAGUGAUUUCCGCUCGAUCCCUAGAGGUGCCAUCACGGACCCAGGCAAUCUCCUACCAUCAGCGGGGCUUUCUGGCGCAAGGCUGCAGCCCCCUUUUGCGCUCGACACGACCUAUUUUACUUCCACCACAGCAAGGCCCCACAGGGAUUUUGGCGGCAGAACAGCACGGUCCCUGUGCCAGCACUAUGGUUCCUAUGGUGUGUUGAGCCCCGAUGCCAGACAGGCAAUGAUGAGUCCAGGCCCAGUGAUUUCAGCCCUUUCAGCUGUUGACCCACAAGCUUUAUUUCACUGCCAGCGCUCUUGUCCAGCUUCAAAGGGCAGCAUCUUGGCCUUGGCUCCAGCUCUGCAACACUUGAGCCCCGAGGGUCUCCGAACCUCCCCCCAGCAUCAAUAUGCCAGCCCCCCGUGAUUUCAGGUGCCGCCCAACAAUCUUGAGACACUGUGCCAGCCCCUGCAUAAGUUCACCUUGAUGGCCACAGCCCCAUUCACAGGUCUAGUAUCUUUUCCGUUUUCAGUCCGAGGCCCAGCCAUGGAGUUCCCUUCCCAGCCCCAGAGUAAUUUUGGCUCCAUCCCAGGAGGUGCCUUCACAGGCCCAGGCAAUAUCCUGGCGUCGACGGGGUUUUCAGGCGCCAGGUUGCGGCCCCCUUUUCCUAUCCACACAGCCUGCUGUACUUUCAGUCACAAUGGCCAGCCCCUUCACCCAUGUCACGGGCCUACAGUGAUUACGGUGCAAGAAGAACACCACGGUCCCUGUGCCAGCCGUAUGGUUCCAGUGCCAUGUUCAGCCCCGAUGCCAGACAGGCAAUGAUGAGUCCAGGCCCAGUGAUUUCAGCCCUUUCAGCUGUUGACCCACAAGCUUUAUUUCACUGCCAGCGCUCUUGUCCAGCUUCAAAGGGCAGCAUCUUGGCCUUGGCUCCAGCUCUGCAACACUUGAGCUCCUGCCUGAGGGUCUCUAAGCCCAUCCCAAUAUCAAUAUGCCAGCCCCCCAUGAUCUCAGGUCCCGGCCAGCAAUCUUGAGACACCGUGAGAGACUGUGCCUCUUUUGGCCUCAAUGCCAAGAGCCCCAUUCUCAGCAUUAUAAGUUCUUUACCAUUUUCAUUCAGAGUCUCAGCCCCGCAGUCCACUUUCCAGCCCCACAGUGAUUUCCGCUCGAUCCCUAGAGGUGCCAUCACGGACCCAGGCAAUCUCCUACCAUCAGCGGGGCUUUCUGGCGCAAGGCUGCAGCCCCCUUUUGCGCUCGACACGACCUAUUUUACUUCCACCACAGCAAGGCCCCACAGGGAUUUUGGCGGCAGAACAGCACGGUCCCUGUGCCAGCACUAUGGUUCCUAUGGUGUGUUGAGCCCCGAUGCCAGACAGGCAAUGAUGAGUCCAGGCCCAGUGAUUUCAGCCCUUUCAGCUGUUGACCCACAAGCUUUAUUUCACUGCCAGCGCUCUUGUCCAGCUUCAAAGGGCAGCAUCUUGGCCUUGGCUCCAGCUCUGCAACACUUGAGCCCCGAGGGUCUCCGAACCUCCCCCCAGCAUCAAUAUGCCAGCCCCCCGUGAUUUCAGGUGCCGCCCAACAAUCUUGAGACACUGUGCCAGCCCCUGCAUAAGUUCACCUUGAUGGCCACAGCCCCAUUCACAGGUCUAGUAUCUUUUCCGUUUUCAGUCCGAGGCCCAGCCAUGGAGUUCCCUUCCCAGCCCCAGAGUAAUUUUGGCUCCAUCCCAGGAGGUGCCUUCACAGGCCCAGGCAAUAUCCUGGCGUCGACGGGGUUUUCAGGCGCCAGGUUGCGGCCCCCUUUUCCUAUCCACACAGCCUGCUGUACUUUCAGUCACAAUGGCCAGCCCCUUCACCCAUGUCACGGGCCUACAGUGAUUACGGUGCAAGAAGAACACCACGGUCCCUGUGCCAGCCGUAUGGUUCCAGUGCCAUGUUCAGCCCCGAUGCCAGACAGGCAAUGAUGAGUCCAGGCCCAGUGAUUUCAGCCCUUUCAGCUGUUGACCCACAAGCUUUAUUUCACUGCCAGCGCUCUUGUCCAGCUUCAAAGGGCAGCAUCUUGGCCUUGGCUCCAGCUCUGCAACACUUGAGCCCCGAGGGUCUCCGAACCUCCCCCCAGCAUCAAUAUGCCAGCCCCCCGUGAUUUCAGGUGCCGCCCAACAAUCUUGAGACACUGUGCCAGCCCCUGCAUAAGUUCACCUUGAUGGCCACAGCCCCAUUCACAGGUCUAGUAUCUUUUCCGUUUUCAGUCCGAGGCCCAGCCAUGGAGUUCCCUUCCCAGCCCCAGAGUAAUUUUGGCUCCAUCCCAGGAGGUGCCUUCACAGGCCCAGGCAAUAUCCUGGCGUCGACGGGGUUUUCAGGCGCCAGGUUGCGGCCCCCUUUUCCUAUCCACACAGCCUGCUGUACUUUCAGUCACAAUGGCCAGCCCCUUCACCCAUGUCACGGGCCUACAGUGAUUACGGUGCAAGAAGAACACCACGGUCCCUGUGCCAGCCGUAUGGUUCCAGUGCCAUGUUCAGCCCCGAUGCCAGACAGGCAAUGAUGAGUCCAGGCCCAGUGAUUUCAGCCCUUUCAGCUGUUGACCCACAAGCUUUAUUUCACUGCCAGCGCUCUUGUCCAGCUUCAAAGGGCAGCAUCUUGGCCUUGGCUCCAGCUCUGCAACACUUGAGCUCCUGCCUGAGGGUCUCUAAGCCCAUCCCAAUAUCAAUAUGCCAGCCCCCCAUGAUCUCAGGUCCCGGCCAGCAAUCUUGAGACACCGUGAGAGACUGUGCCUCUUUUGGCCUCAAUGCCAAGAGCCCCAUUCUCAGCAUUAUAAGUUCUUUACCAUUUUCAUUCAGAGUCUCAGCCCCGCAGUCCACUUUCCAGCCCCACAGUGAUUUCCGCUCGAUCCCUAGAGGUGCCAUCACGGACCCAGGCAAUCUCCUACCAUCAGCGGGGCUUUCUGGCGCAAGGCUGCAGCCCCCUUUUGCGCUCGACACGACCUAUUUUACUUCCACCACAGCAAGGCCCCACAGGGAUUUUGGCGGCAGAACAGCACGGUCCCUGUGCCAGCACUAUGGUUCCUAUGGUGUGUUGAGCCCCGAUGCCAGACAGGCAAUGAUGAGUCCAGGCCCAGUGAUUUCAGCCCUUUCAGCUGUUGACCCACAAGCUUUAUUUCACUGCCAGCGCUCUUGUCCAGCUUCAAAGGGCAGCAUCUUGGCCUUGGCUCCAGCUCUGCAACACUUGAGCCCCGAGGGUCUCCGAACCUCCCCCCAGCAUCAAUAUGCCAGCCCUCCCGUGAUUUCAGGUUCCGCCCAACAAUCUUGAGACACUGUGCCAGCCCCUGCAUAAGUUCACCUUGAUGGCCACAGCCCCAUUCACAGGUCUAGUAUCUUUUCCGUUUUCAGUCCGAGGCCCAGCCAUGGAGUCCACUUCCCAGCCCCAGAGUAAUUUUGGCUCCAUCCCAGGAGGUGCCUUCACAGGCUCAGGCAAUACCCUGGCGUCGACGGGGUUUUCAGGCGCCAGGUUGCAGCCCCCUUUUCCUAUCCACACAGCCUGCUGUACUUUCAGUCACAAUGGCCAGCCCCUUCACCCAUGUCACGGGCCUACAGUGAUUACGGUGCAAGAAGAACACCACGGUCCCUGUGCCAGCCGUAUGGUUCCAGUGCCAUGUUCAGCCCCGAUGCCAGACAGGCAAUGAUGAGUCCAGGCCCAGUGAUUUCAGCCCUUUCAGCUGUUGACCCACAAGCUUUAUUUCACUGCCAGCGCUCUUGUCCAGCUUCAAAGGGCAGCAUCUUGGCCUUGGCUCCAGCUCUGCAACACUUGAGCUCCUGCCUGAGGGUCUCUAAGCCCAUCCCAAUAUCAAUAUGCCAGCCCCCCAUGAUCUCAGGUCCCGGCCAGCAAUCUUGAGACACCGUGAGAGACUGUGCCUCUUUUGGCCUCAAUGCCAAGAGCCCCAUUCUCAGCAUUAUAAGUUCUUUACCAUUUUCAUUCAGAGUCUCAGCCCCGCAGUCCACUUUCCAGCCCCACAGUGAUUUCCGCUCGAUCCCUAGAGGUGCCAUCACGGACCCAGGCAAUCUCCUACCAUCAGCGGGGCUUUCUGGCGCAAGGCUGCAGCCCCCUUUUGCGCUCGACACGACCUAUUUUACUUCCACCACAGCAAGGCCCCACAGGGAUUUUGGCGGCAGAACAGCACGGUCCCUGUGCCAGCACUAUGGUUCCUAUGGUGUGUUGAGCCCCGAUGCCAGACAGGCAAUGAUGAGUCCAGGCCCAGUGAUUUCAGCCCUUUCAGCUGUUGACCCACAAGCUUUAUUUCACUGCCAGCGCUCUUGUCCAGCUUCAAAGGGCAGCAUCUUGGCCUUGGCUCCAGCUCUGCAACACUUGAGCCCCGAGGGUCUCCGAACCUCCCCCCAGCAUCAAUAUGCCAGCCCCCCGUGAUUUCAGGUGCCGCCCAACAAUCUUGAGACACUGUGCCAGCCCCUGCAUAAGUUCACCUUGAUGGCCACAGCCCCAUUCACAGGUCUAGUAUCUUUUCCGUUUUCAGUCCGAGGCCCAGCCAUGGAGUUCCCUUCCCAGCCCCAGAGUAAUUUUGGCUCCAUCCCAGGAGGUGCCUUCACAGGCCCAGGCAAUAUCCUGGCGUCGACGGGGUUUUCAGGCGCCAGGUUGCGGCCCCCUUUUCCUAUCCACACAGCCUGCUGUACUUUCAGUCACAAUGGCCAGCCCCUUCACCCAUGUCACGGGCCUACAGUGAUUACGGUGCAAGAAGAACACCACGGUCCCUGUGCCAGCCGUAUGGUUCCAGUGCCAUGUUCAGCCCCGAUGCCAGACAGGCAAUGAUGAGUCCAGGCCCAGUGAUUUCAGCCCUUUCAGCUGUUGACCCACAAGCUUUAUUUCACUGCCAGCGCUCUUGUCCAGCUUCAAAGGGCAGCAUCUUGGCCUUGGCUCCAGCUCUGCAACACUUGAGCCCCGAGGGUCUCCGAACCUCCCCCCAGCAUCAAUAUGCCAGCCCCCCGUGAUUUCAGGUGCCGCCCAACAAUCUUGAGACACUGUGCCAGCCCCUGCAUAAGUUCACCUUGAUGGCCACAGCCCCAUUCACAGGUCUAGUAUCUUUUCCGUUUUCAGUCCGAGGCCCAGCCAUGGAGUUCCCUUCCCAGCCCCAGAGUAAUUUUGGCUCCAUCCCAGGAGGUGCCUUCACAGGCCCAGGCAAUAUCCUGGCGUCGACGGGGUUUUCAGGCGCCAGGUUGCGGCCCCCUUUUCCUAUCCACACAGCCUGCUGUACUUUCAGUCACAAUGGCCAGCCCCUUCACCCAUGUCACGGGCCUACAGUGAUUACGGUGCAAGAAGAACACCACGGUCCCUGUGCCAGCCGUAUGGUUCCAGUGCCAUGUUCAGCCCCGAUGCCAGACAGGCAAUGAUGAGUCCAGGCCCAGUGAUUUCAGCCCUUUCAGCUGUUGACCCACAAGCUUUAUUUCACUGCCAGCGCUCUUGUCCAGCUUCAAAGGGCAGCAUCUUGGCCUUGGCUCCAGCUCUGCAACACUUGAGCUCCUGCCUGAGGGUCUCUAAGCCCAUCCCAAUAUCAAUAUGCCAGCCCCCCAUGAUCUCAGGUCCCGGCCAGCAAUCUUGAGACACCGUGAGAGACUGUGCCUCUUUUGGCCUCAAUGCCAAGAGCCCCAUUCUCAGCAUUAUAAGUUCUUUACCAUUUUCAUUCAGAGUCUCAGCCCCGCAGUCCACUUUCCAGCCCCACAGUGAUUUCCGCUCGAUCCCUAGAGGUGCCAUCACGGACCCAGGCAAUCUCCUACCAUCAGCGGGGCUUUCUGGCGCAAGGCUGCAGCCCCCUUUUGCGCUCGACACGACCUAUUUUACUUCCACCACAGCAAGGCCCCACAGGGAUUUUGGCGGCAGAACAGCACGGUCCCUGUGCCAGCACUAUGGUUCCUAUGGUGUGUUGAGCCCCGAUGCCAGACAGGCAAUGAUGAGUCCAGGCCCAGUGAUUUCAGCCCUUUCAGCUGUUGACCCACAAGCUUUAUUUCACUGCCAGCGCUCUUGUCCAGCUUCAAAGGGCAGCAUCUUGGCCUUGGCUCCAGCUCUGCAACACUUGAGCCCCGAGGGUCUCCGAACCUCCCCCCAGCAUCAAUAUGCCAGCCCCCCGUGAUUUCAGGUGCCGCCCAACAAUCUUGAGACACUGUGCCAGCCCCUGCAUAAGUUCACCUUGAUGGCCACAGCCCCAUUCACAGGUCUAGUAUCUUUUCCGUUUUCAGUCCGAGGCCCAGCCAUGGAGUUCCCUUCCCAGCCCCAGAGUAAUUUUGGCUCCAUCCCAGGAGGUGCCUUCACAGGCCCAGGCAAUAUCCUGGCGUCGACGGGGUUUUCAGGCGCCAGGUUGCGGCCCCCUUUUCCUAUCCACACAGCCUGCUGUACUUUCAGUCACAAUGGCCAGCCCCUUCACCCAUGUCACGGGCCUACAGUGAUUACGGUGCAAGAAGAACACCACGGUCCCUGUGCCAGCCGUAUGGUUCCAGUGCCAUGUUCAGCCCCGAUGCCAGACAGGCAAUGAUGAGUCCAGGCCCAGUGAUUUCAGCCCUUUCAGCUGUUGACCCACAAGCUUUAUUUCACUGCCAGCGCUCUUGUCCAGCUUCAAAGGGCAGCAUCUUGGCCUUGGCUCCAGCUCUGCAACACUUGAGCUCCUGCCUGAGGGUCUCUAAGCCCAUCCCAAUAUCAAUAUGCCAGCCCCCCAUGAUCUCAGGUCCCGGCCAGCAAUCUUGAGACACCGUGAGAGACUGUGCCUCUUUUGGCCUCAAUGCCAAGAGCCCCAUUCUCAGCAUUAUAAGUUCUUUACCAUUUUCAUUCAGAGUCUCAGCCCCGCAGUCCACUUUCCAGCCCCACAGUGAUUUCCGCUCGAUCCCUAGAGGUGCCAUCACGGACCCAGGCAAUCUCCUACCAUCAGCGGGGCUUUCUGGCGCAAGGCUGCAGCCCCCUUUUGCGCUCGACACGACCUAUUUUACUUCCACCACAGCAAGGCCCCACAGGGAUUUUGGCGGCAGAACAGCACGGUCCCUGUGCCAGCACUAUGGUUCCUAUGGUGUGUUGAGCCCCGAUGCCAGACAGGCAAUGAUGAGUCCAGGCCCAGUGAUUUCAGCCCUUUCAGCUGUUGACCCACAAGCUUUAUUUCACUGCCAGCGCUCUUGUCCAGCUUCAAAGGGCAGCAUCUUGGCCUUGGCUCCAGCUCUGCAACACUUGAGCCCCGAGGGUCUCCGAACCUCCCCCCAGCAUCAAUAUGCCAGCCCCCCGUGAUUUCAGGUGCCGCCCAACAAUCUUGAGACACUGUGCCAGCCCCUGCAUAAGUUCACCUUGAUGGCCACAGCCCCAUUCACAGGUCUAGUAUCUUUUCCGUUUUCAGUCCGAGGCCCAGCCAUGGAGUUCCCUUCCCAGCCCCAGAGUAAUUUUGGCUCCAUCCCAGGAGGUGCCUUCACAGGCCCAGGCAAUAUCCUGGCGUCGACGGGGUUUUCAGGCGCCAGGUUGCAGCCCCCUUUUCCUAUCCACACAGCCUGCUGUACUUUCAGUCACAAUGGCCAGCCCCUUCACCCAUGUCACGGGCCUACAGUGAUUACGGCGCAAGAAGAACACCACGGUCCCUGUUCCAGCCGU